rnacentral:rRNA from 1 species
AUACGUAGGUGGCAAGCGUUAUCCGGAUUUACUGGGCAUAAAGGGAGCGUAGGCGGAUAUUUAAGUGGGAUGUGAAAUACCCGAGCUUAACUUGGGAGCUGCAUUCCAAACUGGAAGUCUAGAGUGCAGGAGAGGAGAAGGGAAUUCCUAGUGUAGCGGUGAAAUGCGUAGAGAUUAGGAAGAACACCAGUGGCGAAGGCGCUUCUCUGGACUGUAACUGACGCUGAGGCUCGAAAGCGUGGGGAGC